UGGGGAAUCUUGCGCAAUGGGCGAAAGCCUGACGCAGCGACGCCGCGUGUGGGAUGAAGGUCUUCGGAUUGUAAACCACUGUCGGGAGGGACGAAGCUCUGACGGUACCUCCAAAGGAAGCACCGGCUAACUCUGUGCCAGCAGCCGCGGUAAUACAGAGGGUGCGAGCGUUGUCCGGAAUCACUGGGCGUAAAGGGCGCGUAGGCGGCCUGGUAAGUAGGGGGUGAAAUCUCAUGGCUCAACUGUGAGGCUGCCUUCUAGACUGCUGGGCUUGAGCACGGUAGAGGCUGGUGGAAUUCCCGGUGUAGCGGUGGAAUGCGUAGAGAUCGGGAGGAACAUCGGUGGCGAAGGCGGCCAGCUGGGCCGUUGCUGACGCUGAGGCACGAAAGCGUGGGGAGCAAACAGGAUUAGAUACCCCUGUAGUCCCUGAGCGGGCUGGCAAGGCG
rnacentral:rRNA from 1 species